rnacentral:rRNA from 1 species
AUGGCGUGCCGCCGGAGCGCGGCGGUGCGGUGCCUGUGGGCGGCGCUGCUCCUGCACCUGGCCGCGGAGGCGGCGAGCAGGCCGCCGGCGGUGGUGGCCGGGCCGGUGUCGCGGGCGGAGGACGCGCGGCUGUUCCACAUAUACUACGGGCAGGGGUUCAAGGUCCUCAAGAACGCCUGGGACGGCAAGAGCUACCUCCUCAUGCAGAGCACGUCCAAGAUGGCGAGCGGGACGAGGUACUGCACGGGGAGGAUCAAGUCCUUCGUCGUCCCCCUCGCCAACUACUCCCUCGACACCGCCGCCUCUCCAGUGUCCUUCUUCGAGCUACUUGGAGUGCUGGAGAACUUGAAGGGGAUAACAUCAGCACAGGUGGCUUCUCAGUGCGUGCUCCAGGCGUAUGCAAGUGGAAACGUGCAGCUUGUCAACGGGACAGACGCAGGCAAGCUCUCGCAGUUCCGCGCGCAUUUCGUGAGCACGGAUCAAGAUAGGGGUUGCAACUUCGCGGCUUAUGUACCCUCCGAAGAGGACACGCCGUUGCAGAGGGACGAGUGGAUCAAAUACCUGGGAACGUUCACCAACUCCGAAGACAGGGCCAAUGCAGUAUAUGAUGCAAUUAAGACAAACUACUUGUGCUUAAGCAAAGCAGCAGCUGCCCUAAGCACCCGAUUCAAACCUGUAGUGGCAUGGGUCGAAUUCACAGAGGGAGUGUGGACAUUUGUCAGAGAAAGCUACAAGUUACAGUAUGUCAAAGAUGCAGGAGCAGAGAUUGUUGAUGCAACUAUUACCGAUAAGAGAUUCAAGGUUUCAGAUCCAGAGGACAUGGACAGCUUACAUGCCAUUCUUUGUACGGUGGAUGUGGUCAUAGAUCAGACAUAUGCCUCGGAUCCUGGAGAGUACAAGCUAUCCACAUUUUUGGACAAUAUUGAUGUGGGCCGUGACUCUUGUUUUAGUUUCAUAACUAACCAAAGCAUAUGGAGAUUUGAUAAAAGAAUAGGAAAUUCCGAGACACUUGAUUGGUCAGAUGGAGCUAUCUCCCAGCCCCAGUUGGUUCUUGCUGAUCUGAUAGAAGCUUUCUUCCCAACGGGGAACUACACAACAAUUUACUUCAGGAACCUCGCAAAGGAAGAAGGGGUCACAGAAAUUGUCCCUGAAAUGUGCACUAGGAGCAUAUCCACGCCCAUGGAGCCUACGAUCCUGCCCUGCCAAUGA